UUGGCCCUGAAACAAGGCCAACAGUUUGUUGAAGUUGUUGGUUUUAAGCAGGUGCCCAAAGAAAUGUCUUUCUAUGGUCUGUUGGCCAUUUCAGAAAUUUGGAAAUGUAAUGGUCAACUUAUUAGAAAGAAACAUGU
rnacentral:snoRNA from 1 species